AUACGUAGGUGGCAAGCGUUGUCCGGAAUUAUUGGGCGUAAAGCGCGCGCAGGUGGUUCCUUAAGUCUGAUGUGAAAGCCCCCGGCUCAACCGGGGAGGGUCAUUGGAAACUGGGGAACUUGAGUGCAGAAGAGGAUAGUGGAAUUCCAAGUGUAGCGGUGAAAUGCGUAGAGAUUUGGAGGAACACCAGUGGCGAAGGCGACUGUCUGGUCUGUAACUGACACUGAGGCGCGAAAGCGUGGGGAGCAAACAGGAUUAGAUACCCUGGUAGUCCACGCCGUAAACGAUGAGUGCUAAGUGUUGGGGAGUUUCCGCCCCUCAGUGCUGCAGCUAACGCAUUAAGCACUCCGCCUGGGGAGUACGGUCGCAAGACUGAAACUCAAAUGAAUUGACGGGG
rnacentral:rRNA from 1 species